GGAAGUAAAAGUCGUAACAAGGUCUCCGUUGGUGAACCAGCGGAGGGAUCAUUACCGAGUUUACAACUCCCAAACCCCAAUGUGAACGUUACCAAACUGUUGCCUCGGCGGGAUCUCUGCCCCGGGCGCGUCGCAGCCCCGGACCAAGGCGCCCGCCGGAGGAAAAAACAACCAAAACUCUUUUUGUAUACCCCCUCGCGGGUUUUUUACUUCUGAGAACUUCUCGGCGCCCCUUAGCGGGCGUUUCGAAAAUGAAUCAAAACUUUCAACAACGGAUCUCUUGGUUCUGGCAUCGAUGAAGAACGCAGCGAAAUGCGAUAAGUAAUGUGAAUUGCAGAAUUCAGUGAAUCAUCGAAUCUUUGAACGCACAUUGCGCCCGCCAGUAUUCUGGCGGGCAUGCCUGUCCGAGCGUCAUUUCAACCCUCGAACCCCUCCGGGGGGUCGGCGUUGGGGAUCGGCCACUCCCUCCUCUUUGGGGGCGGCCGGCCCCGAAAUACAGUGGCGGUCUCGCCGCAGCCUCUCCUGCGCAGUAGUUUGCACACUCGCAUCGGGAGCGCGGCGCGUCCAAUGCCGUAAAACACCCAACUUUCUGAAAUGUUGACCUCGGAUCAGGUAGGAAUACCCGCUGAACUUAAGCAUAUCAAUAAGCGGAGGA
rnacentral:rRNA from 1 species